rnacentral:rRNA from 2 species
GGGUUGUGAGGUUAAGCGACCAAGCGUACACGGUGGAUGCCCUGGCAGUCAGAGGCGAUGAAGGACGUGCUAAUCUGCGAAAAGCGCCGGUAAGGUGAUAUGAACCGUUAUAACCGGCGAUGUCCGAAUGGGGAAACCCAGUGUGACUCGUCACACUAUCAUUAACUGAAUCCAUAGGUUAAUGAGGCGAACCGGGGGAACUGAAACAUCUAAGUACCCCGAGGAAAAGAAAUCAACCGAGAUUCCCCCAGUAGCGGCGAGCGAACGGGGAGGAGCCCAGAGCCUGAAUCAGCAUGUGUGUUAGUGGAAGCGUCUGGAAAGGCGCGCGAUACAGGUGAGAGCCCCGUACACAAAAGCGCAUAUGCUGUGAGCUCGAUGAGUAGGGCGGGACACGUGGUAUCCUGUCUGAAUAUGGGGGACCAUCCUCCAAGGCUAAAUACUCCUGACUGACCGAUAGUGAACCAGUACCGUGAGGGAAAGGCGAAAAGAACCCCGGCGAGGGGAGUGAAACAGAACCUGAAACCGUGUACGUACAAGCAGUGGGAGCCUCUCUUUAUGGGGGGUGACUGCGUACCUUUGUAUAAUGGGUCAGCGACUUAUAUUCUGUAGCAAGGUUAACCGCAUAGGGGAGCCGAAGGAAACCGAGUCUUAACCGGGCGUUAAGUUGCAGGGUAUAGACCCGAAACCCGGUGAUCUAGCCAUGGGCAGGUUGAAGGUUGGGUAACACUAACUGGAGGACCGAACCGACUAAUGUUGAAAAAUUAGCGGAUGACCUGUGGCUGGGGUGAAAGGCCAAUCAAACCGGGAGAUAGCUGGUUCUCCCCGAAAGCUAUUUAGGUAGCGCCUCGUGAACUCAUCUCCGGGGUAGAGCACUGUUUCGGCUAGGGGCCAUCCCGGCUUACCAACCCGAUGCAAACUGCGAAUACCGGAGAAUGUUAUCACGGGAGACACACGGCGGGUGCUAACGUCCGUCGUGAAGAGGAAACAACCCAGACCGCCAGCUAAGGUCCCAAAGUCAUGGUUAAGUGGGAAACGAUGUGGGAAGGCCCAGACAGCCGUGAUGUUGGCUUAGAAGCAGCCAUCAUUUAAAGAAAGCGUAAUAGCUCACUGGUCGAGUCGGCCUGCGCGGAAGAUGUAACGGGGCUAAACCAUGCACCGAAGCUGCGGCAGCGACACUUUAGUGUUGUUGGGUAGGGGAGCGUUCUGUAAGCCGUUGAAGGUGUCCUGUGAGGGGUGCUGGAGGUAUCAGAAGUGCGAAUGCUGACAUAAGUAACGAUAAAGCGGGUGAAAAGCCCGCUCGCCGGAAGACCAAGGGUUCCUGUCCAACGUUAAUCGGGGCAGGGUGAGUCGACCCCUAAGGCGAGGCCGAAAGGCGUAGUCGAUGGGAAACGGGUUAAUAUUCCCGUACUUGGUGUUACUGCGAAGGGGGACGGAGAAGGCUAUGUUGGCCGGGCGACGGUAGUCCCGGUUUAAGCGUGUAGGCUGGUUUUCCGGCAAAUCCGGAAAAUCAAGGCUGAGGCGUGAUGACGAGGCACCACGGUGCUGAAGCAACAAAUGCCCUGCUUCCGUGAAAGCCUCUAAGCAUCAGGUAACAUCAAAUCGUACCCCAAACCGACACAGGUGGUCAGGUAGAGAAUACCAAGGCGCUUGAGAGAACUCGGGUGAAGGAACUAGGCAAAAUGGUGCCGUAACUUCGGGAGAAGGCACGCUGACACGUAGGUGAAGUGAUUUACUCAUGGAGCUGAAGUCAGUCGAAGAUACCAGCUGGCUGCAACUGUUUAUUAAAAACACAGCACUGUGCAAACACGAAAGUGGACGUAUACGGUGUGACGCCUGCCCGGUGCCGGAAGGUUAAUUGAUGGGGUCAGCGCAAGCGAAGCUCCUGAUCGAAGCCCCGGUAAACGGCGGCCGUAACUAUAACGGUCCUAAGGUAGCGAAAUUCCUUGUCGGGUAAGUUCCGACCUGCACGAAUGGCGUAAUGAUGGCCAGGCUGUCUCCACCCGAGACUCAGUGAAAUUGAACUCGCUGUGAAGAUGCAGUGUACCCGCGGCAAGACGGAAAGACCCCGUGAACCUUUACUAUAGCUUGACACUGAACAUUGAGCCUUGAUGUGUAGGAUAGGUGGGAGGCUUUGAAGCGUGGACGCCAGUCUGCGUGGAGCCAACCUUGAAAUACCACCCUUUAAUGUUUGAUGUUCUAACGUGGACCCGUAAUCCGGGUUGCGGACAGUGUCUGGUGGGUAGUUUGACUGGGGCGGUCUCCUCCUAAAGAGUAACGGAGGAGCACGAAGGUUGGCUAAUCCCUGGUCGGACAUCAGGAGGUUAGUGCAAUGGCAUAAGCCAGCUUGACUGCGAGCGUGACGGCGCGAGCAGGUGCGAAAGCAGGUCAUAGUGAUCCGGUGGUUCUGAAUGGAAGGGCCAUCGCUCAACGGAUAAAAGGUACUCCGGGGAUAACAGGCUGAUACCGCCCAAGAGUUCAUAUCGACGGCGGUGUUUGGCACCUCGAUGUCGGCUCAUCACAUCCUGGGGCUGAAGUAGGUCCCAAGGGUAUGGCUGUUCGCCAUUUAAAGUGGUACGCGAGCUGGGUUUAGAACGUCGUGAGACAGUUCGGUCCCUAUCUGCCGUGGGCGCUGGAAGACUGAGGGGGGCUGCUCCUAGUACGAGAGGACCGGAGUGGACGCAUCACUGGUGUUCGGGUUGUCAUGCCAAUGGCACUGCCCGGUAGCUAAAUGCGGAAAAGAUAAGUGCUGAAAGCAUCUAAGCACGAAACUUGCCCCGAGAUGAGUCUUCCCUGAGACCUUGAGUCUCCUGAAGGAACGUUAAAGACGAUGACGUUGAUAGGCCGGGUGUGUAAGCGCAGCGAUGCGUUGAGCUAACCGGUACUAAUGAACCGUGAGGCUUAACCUUACAACGCCGAAG